rnacentral:rRNA from 1 species
AUGAUGGCGUUGAUCCCCGUGAACUGCUGGAAGAUCUGGAGCAGCACGGCGAUGACCAGCUGCGGGCGGUUCCGGCGCUGGAGCAGGUUCCGGAACGGGUGCUUCACCUCCUGCGCGAUGCGGCUCGCCUCCACGAUCUCGUUGAACUCCGGCUCCACGUUGUCGGUGCCGCGGAUCCGCUUGAGCACCGCCUUGCCCUCCUCCAGGUGGCCGCGCUCGAUGAGGCUGUUGGGGGUGUCGGUGACGAAGAGCGCGCCCAGGGUGAGCAUCGCCGCCGGGAUGCCGGCCAGCGACAGCGACAGCCGCCAGCCCCACGGGUGGAUCUUGCUCGUGCCGUAG